rnacentral:tRNA from 1 species
AUAGGCAUAGUUAAAAUAAUAACAAUGUGUUUGCAUCACAUAAUUGGGAUAUUUCCCUGUCUAUU